AGUCACUGACAUUAGAUACCCCUGUAGUCCAGGGUGUAAACGCUGCAGACUUGGUGUUGGAGGCCCUUUGGGGGCAUUCAGUGCCGGAGAGAAGUUGUUAAGUCUGCUACUUGGGAGUACGUCCGCAAGGAUGAAACUUAAAGGAAUUGGCGGGGGAGCACCGCAACGGGAGGAGCGUGCGGUUUAAUUGGAUUCAACACCGUAAACUCACCAGGGAAGACUGUUACAUGAAGGCCGAGAUGAAGACUCUGCUAGAUUUUCAG
rnacentral:rRNA from 1 species